rnacentral:rRNA from 1 species
UGGGGAAUAUUGGACAAUGGAGGAAACUCUGAUCCAGCAAUUCUGUGUGUGUGAAGAAGGUUUUAGGACUGUAAAACACUUUUAGUAGGGAAGAAAAAAAUGACGGUACCUACAGAAGAAGCAACGGCUAAAUACGUGCCAGCAGCCGCGGUAAUACGUAUGUUGCGAGCGUUAUCCGGAAUUAUUGGGCUUAAAGGGCAUCUAGGCGGUAAGACAAGUUGAAGGUGAAAACCUGUAGCUCAACCAUAGGCUUGCCUACAAAACUGUUGAACUAGAGUACUGGAAAGGUGGGUGGAACUACACGAGUAGAGGUGAAAUUCGUAGAUAUGUGUAGGAAUGCCGAUGAUGAAGAUAACUCACUGGACAGAAACUGACGCUGAAGUGCGAAAGCUAGGGGAGCAAACAGG